CGUGUAGGCGGGUUGGUAAGUCAGAUGUGAAAGCCCUGGGCUUAACCCAGGAAGUGCAUUUGAAACUGCCGUCCUUGAGUAUGGGAGAGGAGAGUGGAAUUCCCAAUGUAGAGGUGAAAUUCGUAGAUAUUGGGAGGAACACCCGUGGCGAAGGCGACUCUCUGGACCAAUACUGACGCUGAGACGCGAAAGCGUGGGGAGCAAACA
rnacentral:rRNA from 1 species